rnacentral:rRNA from 1 species
AAUGGGUCAGCGACUUAUAUUCUGUAGCAAGGUUAACCGAAUAGGGGAGCCGAAGGGAAACCGAGUCUUAACUGGGCGUUAAGUUGCAGGGUAUAGACCCGAAACCCGGUGAUCUAGCCAUGGGCAGGUUGAAGGUUGGGUAACACUAACUGGAGGACCGAACCGACUAAUGUUGAAAAAUUAGCGGAUGACUUGUGGCUGGGGGUGAAAGGCCAAUCAAACCGGGAGAUAGCUGGUUCUCCCCGAAAGCUAUUUAGGUAGCGCCUCGUGAAUUCAUCUCCGGGGGUAGAGCACUGUUUCGGCAAGGGGGUCAUCCCGACUUACCAACCCGAUGCAAACUGCGAAUACCGGAGAAUGUUAUCACGGGAGACACACGGCGGGUGCUAACGUCCGUCGUGAAGAGGGAAACAACCCAGACCGCCAGCUAAGGUCCCAAAGUCAUGGUUAAGUGGGAAACGAUGUGGGAAGGCCCAGACAGCCAGGAUGUUGGCUUAGAAGCAGCCAUCAUUUAAAGAAAGCGUAAUAGCUCACUGGUCGAGUCGGCCUGCGCGGAAGAUGUAACGGGGCUAAACCAUGCACCGAAGCUGCGGCAGCGACACUAUGUGUUGUUGGGUAGGGGAGCGUUCUGUAA